AACGAACGCUGGCGGCAGGCCUAACACAUGCAAGUCGAGCGAGGACUUCGGUUCUAGCGGCGGACGGGUGAGUAACGCGUGGGAAUGUGCCCUUCUCUACGGAAUAGCCCUGGGAAACUGGGAGUAAUACCGUAUACGCCCUAUUGGGGAAAGAUUUAUCGGAGGAGGAUCAGCCCGCGUUGGAUUAGGUAGUUGGUGGGGUAAUGGCCUACCAAGCCGACGAUCCAUAGCUGGUUUGAGAGGAUGAUCAGCCACACUGGGACUGAGACACGGCCCAGACUCCUACGGGAGGCAGCAGUGGGGAAUCUUAGACAAUGGGGGCAACCCUGAUCUAGCCAUGCCGCGUAAGUGAUGAAGGCCUUAGGGUUGUAAAGCUCUUUCAGCUGGGAAGAUAAUGACGGUACCAGCAGAAGAAGCCCCGGCUAACUCCGUG
rnacentral:rRNA from 1 species